UUAAGGUAUAGGGAAGCUUGUUUCUGAGCACUGGGUUGGAAUAGGUAAUGUCUUCAUAUGUCUUCCACAUUUGCUUUGUAGGUUUGUGAUGGUAAGCAGACCUAAGCCACAAGGUUCUGAUACAGAUUCAAAAAGUAAUGAUACUUUGGGCUAAAGGAACAAGGCCUCCACUGGGGACAUUUUGAGGAACGAGCACAGAGUGUGAUAUGCUUGCCCAUCCUGGAGGAGAACUUGCAAAUGCCUGCUCCCCCAGCAGCUGGAGGGCUAGUAAGAAUGCGUGGAGGACAACAGUGGCACCUUCCCUGUCAGCACAGGCAAAACCAUUUCAGAAAGCUCUCAUGUGUGCUGCUACCAGGAUGAAUGAAGGAGGGCAGAAGGGGUGAAGAGAGCUGAGGAACAGCAGAAAGAAGCAGUUUAUACAACAGAUAAAAAGCCAAAUAAAGUGUGUGCAGACUCAAUAAAUCUGCA
rnacentral:lncRNA from 1 species